GAUGAACGCUAGCGGGAGGCCUAACACAUGCAAGCCGAGCGGUAUUGUUUCUUCGGAAAUGAGAGAGCGGCGUACGGGUGCGUAACACGUGUGCAACCUGCCUUUAUCUGGGGGAUAGCCUUUCGAAAGGAAGAUUAAUACUCCAUAACAUAUUGAACGGCAUCGUUUAAUAUUGAAAGCUCCGGCGGAUAGAGAUGGGCACGCGCAAGAUUAGCUAGUUGGUGAGGUAACGGCUCACCAAGGCGAUGAUCUUUAGGGGGCCUGAGAGGGUGAUCCCCCACACUGGUACUGAGACACGGACCAGACUCCUACGGGAGGCAGCAGUGAGGAAUAUUGGUCAAUGGGUGCAAGCCUGAACCAGCCAUCCCGCGUGAAGGACGACUGCCCUAUGGGUUGUAAACUUCUUUUGUAUAGGGAUAAACCUACCCUCGAGAGGGUAGCUGAAGGUACUAUACGAAUAAGCACCGGCUAACUCCGUG
rnacentral:rRNA from 1 species